rnacentral:rRNA from 1 species
CAGCCGCCACGGUAAUACAGAGGGUGCGAGCGUUAAUCGGAUUUACUGGGCGUAAAGCGUGCGUAGGCGGCUUUUUAAGUCGGAUGUGAAAUCCCUGAGCUUAACUUAGGAAUUGCAUUAGAUACUGGGAAGCUAGAGUAUGGGAGAGGAUGGUAGAAUUCCAGGUGUAGCGGUGAAAUGCGUAGAGAUCUGGAGGAAUACCGAUGGCGAAGGCAGCCAUCUGGCCUAAUACUGACGCUGAGGUACGAAAGCAUGGGGAGCAAACAGGAUUAGAUACCCCCGUAGUCCCUGUCUCUUAUAC